AAAGUCCCCUUCGGGGGGCGAGUAGAGUGGCGCACGGGUGAGUAACACGUAGGUAAUCUACCUUUGGAUUGGGAAUAACAACCGGAAACGGUUGCUAAUACCGAAUAAUGCAGCGGCACCUAAUGGUGACAGUUGUUAAAGCGGGGGAUCGCAAGACCUCGCGUCUGAAGAGGAGCCUGCGGCGGAUUAGCUAGUUGGUAAGGUAACGGCUUACCAAGGCGAUGAUCCGUAGCCGGCCUGAGAGGGCGGUCGGCCACACUGACACUGACAUACGGGUCAGACUCCUACGGGAGGCAGCAGUCGGGAAUUUUGGGCAAUGGGCGAAAGCCUGACCCAGCAACGCCGCGUGAAGGAUGAAAUCCUUCGGGAUGUAAACUUCGCAAGAACAGGAAGAAUAAGUAAGAGUUAAUAUCUCUUAUGAUGACGGUACUGUUUGUAAGCUCCGGCUAACUCCGUGCCAGCAGCCGCGGUAAUACGGGGGGAGCAAGCGUUGUUCGGAUUUACUGGGCGUAAAGGGCGCGUAGGCGGCCUCCGCAAGUCGACUGUGAAAUCUCCGGGCUUAACCCGGAACGGUCAGCCGAUACUGCGGGGCUAGAGUGCAGAAGGGGCAACUGGAAUUCUCGGUGUAGCGGUGAAUGCGUAGAUAUCGAGAGGAACACCUGCGGCGAAGGCGGGUUGCUGGGCUGACACUGACGCUGAUGCGCGAAAGCUAGGGGAGCGAACGGGAUUAGAUACCCCGGUAGUCCUAGCCUUAAACGAUGAAUGCUUGGUGUCUGGGGUUUUAUAGUCCCCGGGUGCCGUCGCUAACGCUUUAAGCAUUCCGCCUGGGGAGUACGGUCGCAAGACUG
rnacentral:rRNA from 1 species